UUUGACCUCAAAUCAGGUAGGAGUACCCGCUGAACUUAA
rnacentral:rRNA from 1 species